UACGAAGGGGGCUAGCGUUGUUCGGAUUUACUGGGCGUAAAGCGCACGUAGGCGGAUCGUUAAGUCGGGGGUGAAAUCCUGGAGCUCAACUCCAGAACUGCCUUCGAUACUGGCGAUCUUGAGUCCGGAAGAGGUGAGUGGAACUCCUAGUGUAGAGGUGGAAUUCGUAGAUAUUAGGAAGAACACCAGUGGCGAAGGCGGCUCACUGGCC
rnacentral:rRNA from 1 species